UGCGUAGGCGGCCUAUUAAGUCUGGUGUAAAUGUCACGGCUUAACCGUGAAGGGUCAUUGGAAACUGAUAGGCUUGAAUACAGAAGAGGUAAGUGGAAUUCCAUGUGUAGCGGUAAAAUGCUUAGAUAUAUGGAGGAACACCAGUGGCGAAGGCGGCUUACUGGUCUGUCAUUGACGCUGAUGCACGAAAGCGUGGGUAGCAAACAG
rnacentral:rRNA from 1 species